GCACCCGUAGCUCAGCUGGAUAGAGCGUUGCCCUCCGAAGGCAAAGGCCACACGUUCGAAUCGUGUCGGGUGCACCA
rnacentral:tRNA from 2 species